CCUACGGGCGGCAGCAGUGAGGAAUAUUGGUCAAUGGACGAGAGUCUGAACCAGCCAAGUAGCGUGAAGGAUGACUGCCCUAUGGGUUGUAAACUUCUUUUAUAUGGGAAUAAAAUGUUCCACGUGUGGGAUUUUGUAUGUACCAUAUGAAUAAGGAUCGGCUAACUCCGUGCCAGCAGCCGCGGUAAUACGGAGGGUCCGAGCGUUAUCCGGAUUUAUUGGGUUUAAAGGGAGCGUAAGUGGAUUGUUAAGUCAGUUGUGAAAGUUUGCGGCUCAACCGUAAAAUUGCAGUUGAAACUGGCAGGCUUGAGUACAGUAGAGGUGAGCGGAAGUCGUGGUGUAGCGGUGAAAUGCGUAGAUAUCACGAAGAACUCCGAGGGCGAAGGCAGCUCACUGGACUGCAACUGACACUGAGGCUCGAAAGUGUGGGUAUCAAACAGGAUUAGAUACCCGGGUAGUC
rnacentral:rRNA from 1 species